rnacentral:rRNA from 1 species
CUGGUGGGGAACAGACUUAACUGAACCUUCGGGGGACGUUAAGGGCGUCGAGCGGCGGACGGGUGAGUAAUGCCUGGGAAUAUGCCUUGAUGUGGGGGAUAACCAUUGGAAACGAUGGCUAAUACCGCAUAAUCUCUUCGGAGCAAAGAGGGGGACCUUCGGGCCUCUCGCGUCAAGAUUAGCCCAGGUGGGAUUAGCUAGUUGGUGAGGUAAUGGCUCACCAAGGCGACGAUCCCUAGCUGGUCUGAGAGGAUGAUCAGCCACACUGGAACUGAGACACGGUCCAGACUCCUACGGGAGGCAGCAGUGGGGAAUAUUGCACAAUGGGCGCAAGCCUGAUGCAGCCAUGCCGCGUGUGUGAAGAAGGCCUUCGGGUUGUAAAGCACUUUCAGUCGUGAGGAAGGCGGCGUCGUUAAUAGCGGCGUUGUUUGACGUUAGCGACAGAAGAAGCACCGGCUAACUCCGUGCCAGCAGCCGCGGUAAUACGGAGGGUGCGAGCGUUAAUCGGAAUUACUGGGCGUAAAGCGCAUGCAGGUGGUUAGUUAAGUCAGAUGUGAAAGCCCGGGGCUCAACCUCGGAACCGCAUUUGAAACUGGCUGGCUAGAGUACUGUAGAGGGGGGUAGAAUUUCAGGUGUAGCGGUGAAAUGCGUAGAGAUCUGAAGGAAUACCAGUGGCGAAGGCGGCCCCCUGGACAGAUACUGACACUCAGAUGCGAAAGCGUGGGGAGCAAACAGGAUUAGAUACCCUGUAGUCCACGCCGUAAACGAUGUCUACUUUGGAGGUUGUGGCCUUGAGCCGUGGCUUUCGGAGCUAACGCGUUAAGUAGACCGCCUGGGAGUACGGUCGCAAGAUUAAAACUCAAUGAAUUGACGGGGGCCCCGCACAAGCGGUGGAGCAUGUGGAUUAAUUCGAUGCAACGCGAAGAACCUUACCUACUCUGGACAUCCAGAGACUUCAGAGAUGAUUGUGCCUUCGGGAACUCUGAGAACAGGUGCUGCAUGCUUGUCAGUCAGCCUCGGUUCGUGAAUGUGGAUUAGUCCCGCAACUGGCGCAAUCUUAUCUUGUUUGCAAGCAGUAUGUAGUAACUUCAAGGGAACUUGCGGUGAUAACCGAGA